AUUGAACGCUGGCGGCAGGCCUAACACAUGCAAGUCGAACGAGUGGCGGACGGGUGAGUAAUGUAUGGGAAACUGCCCGGUAGAGGGGGAUAACUACUGGAAAGGGUAGCUAAUACCGCAUACCAUCGGAUGUGCCCAUAUGGGAUUAGCUAGUUGGUGGGGUAAAGGCUCACCUAGGCGACGAUCCCUAGCUGGUCUGAGAGGACGACCAGCCACACUGGGACUGAGACACGGCCCAGACUCCUACGGGAGGCAGCAGUGGGGAAUAUUGGACAAUGGGCGAAAGCCUGAUGCAGCCAUGCCGCGUGUAUGAAGAAGGCCUUCGGGUUGUAAAGUACUUUCAGCGGGGAGGCGUUACCCGCAGAAGAAGCACCGGCUAACUCCGUGCCAGCAGCCGCGGUAAUAC
rnacentral:rRNA from 1 species